rnacentral:vault_RNA from 1 species
GCAUCGGUUUAGCUCAAUGGUUACUUCCUACAUUUGACGUACAUCUACUCUACCGGUCCGCGGACUAGUGAGUUCGACCAUGGGCGCUGUCCGAUGUUUUU